AAUAAGCAUAGGUUAGAGUAGUUGAGCAUUAAACUAACACGACUUUGGUCUCGAAAGCGUGCGACUGUGGUGUCGUUGCGGGGAUCUCUCCUCACCAUCGAGUCGAUACACAAGGAGAAGGGGCAGCUCUCCAUUCUCACAUUACCCCUGAAAACACAUUGACGCCUUUUCUUUUUGCUCGGAAAAGGACAUAUCUUCGACGCCAUUAACUCCGCCAUCCAUCGGUUGAAGGACAUCCUUUUGCUCUUUCCUUUCAUCGUGCAGAAAUUGUGUCGAGUUGCAAAAGAGUCAGUGAAUAAGCUAUGGUUCUUGAAGUUAAUAUAUCUUCACCUCAUAGGAGGUCACAGCCACAGACUGCAUUUUCAACUUCAUCAUCUUUUAAAAGACAACAAUCACGAGGUGAUGAAUUUGGGAGCUGUUCGACUCUACUUCAGCGCCACCGCUUCCUGUUAACUGCACUUUCCCUCCUAGCAUGUCUCUGCACUAUCUAUCUCUACUUUGCAGUCACUCUAGGGGCUGUUGACUCAUGUUCUGGCUUGAAAGGGACUCAAAAAGCAGCAUGCUAUGUAGAGCAUGGAAAAACAUCGAUGGGUAAAGGAAAACUCAAGUUCUUCUAGCACAUUGAUAAUUUUCUAGCUGAAAUAGCGUUUUGCUGAAUGAUUGCUCCUUUCCUUAUGAGGGGCAUAUUCAUGUAACUCAGUGUAACUAUUCCUCACAUGUUAUUUCAGACCUGUGCGCAAUAUUUUGUUUAUAUAUAUCAAAUUGCACAAAUUUUGGUCCAGGAAACUGUUUGACAUUGGUGAAUAUUCUCUGUUGCUAAGGAA